GGAACCGUCGACGGCAAUGGCGAGGCGGUCGGCCUUGGCAAGUUCAUCAAGCCGAACGACGUCGGGAAAUGGUGGAUCAAAUCCGACCGGCUCUGCCA
rnacentral:tRNA from 5 species